CAGUUAAGUGGAACGUCGAAAGCCGCGUGCUUCAGAGAGCAUAACGUUUCACACAAGGCUGAUAGUCCCAUUGGGACACCUUGAAUAGGCCCCAUUUUUACCAUGCGACUACUCGAAAUCUAUUAUUUUGCUGGGAUAAUCCUCGCAUGAUCGGUCAAAGCGACUGUUGCUAGUGAGUGAGAGAAGCUAAAUGGAAUGGAGUUGUAAAAACGAGACUUUUUGUAGUCCAAAGACCGUUUCCACUAUUGCUACAAAUAUCGGCACCUCACGAUGAAACACCCUGGAUAAGCUGAAGAACCAGCCAAUGAAAAAGACCAGUAGAAGCACCUAUGAAAUGGGUUGUGUGUUAAAACCCCAUUGCCAACCUUGCGUUUGUGGAGCUUGCACUUAAACUUGGACAAUGCAUAAAAGGGCAAUAGUUGUAUUUUUGGGUGUUUGCUUCCUUAUUGGAAUAGGCCAAGGUUUACCAGUGGCCUCGUCUGAUAAUGUGGAGAAGCAGGAAGAAAAUGCCAACAGCAACUGCAUUCAAACUCCAUGGGGCUGCAUCGAUAUUACUGAUCCAUCUUUCCGACCGAGGGUGCAUUUAGAAGUCGUUGUACCUCAGGAUGGUUCGGAAUUUGCAAGUCAACAUGCAGAAAUUAUAAAUUUAGAGAACAGUCCCGACGAAUCAGUCAUUUGACCUGUUGCAGAGAUAUCUAGCUAAGCUUUUAAAAGUAUGGUUAUUAAAUAACGAACUAUUAAAAUUACUCACAAGCAAGCAUAAAUUUAGCCGACCGCUUUGGAAAUAUAAAUAUUACUUUAAAAGAGUGUAACACAUAUAAAAAUAUAUUUAGUUGAUCAAGCAGUUUUAAUUAAUAAUAGCACAUUAAUGUUCUUAAAGGUAUAAAAAUUGACAUUAAAAUAUAUUUUGCCAAUGAAAAUUGUCCAAAAGAAAACAUUUGCUAAGCUUUAGGUGCACACUCGACUUAUUUUUACCAAGAAAAAUAUCAAUAGUGUUUGGUUUUACAAACUUAAAACUAAGGAAUAUAAGAUGUAGUUGGUAGCAUUAAAUAAAUUUCUUGUA